UACGUAGGUGGCAAGCGUUGUCCGGAUUUAUUGGGCGUAAAGCGCGCGCAGGCGGUUUCUUAAGUCUGAUGUGAAAGCCCCCGGCUUAACCGGGGAGGGUCAUUGGAAACUGGGAGACUUGAGUGCAGAAGAGGAAAGUGGAAUUCCAAGUGUAGCGGUGAAAUGCGUAGAGAUUUGGAGGAACACCAGUGGCGAAGGCGACUUUCUGGUCUGUAACUGACGCUGAGGCGCGAAAGCUAGGGUAGCAAACGGG
rnacentral:rRNA from 1 species